UCUAGAUCACUCAUAGUCUUGUGGAUAGCACAACAAACUAUAAUGUUCUAGUUAAGUUAACCCUUCAGUGCCAUAUGAUCAUACUUAAUCAAUGCUGCUUUUGUGGAUAGUACAACAAAGCAAUAUUAUUCAAAAUAUGUCAUAAGUAUCAAUAUGCACUUAGUCAAUAUCAUAUCAAUUUCUAUAGUAAGCCUUGUGGCUAGCACAACAAGCUCACUAAGAUCUUGACAUACUCUAUUGAUCAAGC
rnacentral:lncRNA from 1 species